rnacentral:rRNA from 1 species
AUGCAAGUCGAGCGAGAAAGGGGAGCAAUCCCCUGAGUACAGCGGCGCACGGGUGAGUAACACGUGGGUAAUCUGCCCUGGAGUGGGGAAUAACACCGGGAAACCGGUGCUAAUACCGCAUACGAUCACAGAGUCUGCGGAUUUUGUGAUGAAAGGAGCAAUUUGCUCUAGGAGGAGCCCGCGGCUGAUUAGCUAGUUGGUGAGGUAAUGGCUCACCAAGGCAACGAUCAGUAUCCGGUCUGAGAGGACGGUCGGACACACUGGAACUGAGACACGGUCCAGACUCCUACGGGAGGCAGCAGUGGGGAAUUUUUGGCAAUGGGGGCAACCCUGACCAAGCAACGCCGCGUGGGUGAUGAAGUCUCUUGGGACGUAAAACCCUUUCGACGGGGACGAAAGCCGCAAGGUUUGACGGUACCCGUAGAAGAAGCCCCGGCUAACUCCGUGCCAGCAGCCGCGGUAAUACGGGGGGGGCAAGCGUUGUUCGGAAUUACUGGGCGUAAAGGGCGCGUAGGCGGUUCGCUAAGUCGGAUGUGAAAACUCUGGGCUCAACCCAGAGCCUGCAUCCGAAACUGGCGGGCUAGAGUUCUGGAGGGGGUAGCG